CAAGCAAAGAGCCAUGAAUUUAGCUUUAUCACUUGAUUUCACCUCUUGACACUAUUUACAGCUGUUUUCUGUUUGUACAUGCUGUAUUUUCCAGUACCACGCUGAGUAUUGUUAUCCCGAUAGUUCUUUCGUCUCAGUCCGUGUGUAUUCCUGGGCGAAUGUGCUCGUGUGGUCUCAGGAGUUGCGGAGGUCACGGCUCUGGGACAGCCGUUUCAUCGCCCUGUGCUGCAGGGAAAAAGCAAUGCAAGUGCCGUUAAUUUUUUGCAUGGCGAGCUGCUGCAUACUAACCGGUCUCACACCAUUACCAUCACCUUGCCCUUGUGAAGGCAGAUAUGGAUAAGGUUCUCAAAGCUGACAGAAGAUUGAAACCACUCUAAUCCUGUGACGAUGAACCUGCCCCGGAAGAGAGAGCCCAGAGAAUUGCCAAAGCUGUCCGCAAACAGUCAAUAGAAGUGAAGGAAAAUUGGGAACAACUGAAAAUCCGUGCGAGCAACUGGCAGAAACAGGUGGAAAAGGCGUUGGAGAAACUUCAAGAACUGCAGAAAGUUCUGGAUGAUCUUGAGGCUCAUGUGAUAACAGCUGAGGGGGUCCACACUGAUUGGCAACCUGUGGGUGACCUGCUUAUUGACUCAUUGCAGGAUCACAUUGAUAAAACCACAGGUAAGGACUAUCUGCAAAAUCUGUGAUUGGGUUUUGAAAGACAGCAGCCUUUGUUUUGGAGAGAUAAUGGGAACUGCAGAUACUGGAGAAUGCGAGAUAACAACGUGUGGAGCUGGAUGAAGACAGCAGGCCAAGCAGCAUAUUAGGAGCACAAAAGCUGACAUUUC